rnacentral:tRNA from 1 species
GCCAGUGUGGCGUAGUGGUUUGAGGGUUGGACUACAACUCUGGAGACCCUGGUUCAAUUCCCAGCUCAGCCA